rnacentral:rRNA from 1 species
UACGUAGGGGGCUAGCGUUGUCCGGAAUCAUUGGGCGUAAAGCGCGCGUAGGCGGCUUUGCAAGUCGGGUGUGAAAUCCCCAGGCUUAACCUGGGAACUGCAUUCGAGACUGCAUUGCUAGAGUAUGGGAGAGGGAAGUGGAAUUUCCGGUGUAGCGGUGAAAUGCGUAGAUAUCAGGAGGAACACCGGCGGUGUAGACGGCUUACUGGACCAUAACUGACGCUGAGGCACGAAAGUGUGGGGAGCAAACAGG